rnacentral:rRNA from 1 species
UACAGGGGGUGCAAACGUUGCUCGGAAUCAUUGGGCGUAAAGCGCACGUAGGCGGUUCGUUAUGUCGGAUGUGAAAGCCCUUGGCUUAACCGAGGAAGUGCAUCCGAAACUGGCGAGCUAGAGUACGAAAGAGGAUCGCGGAAUUCCCGGUGUAGAGGUGAAAUUCGUAGAUAUCGGGAGGAACACCAGUGGCGAAGGCGGCGACCUGGGCCAAUAUUGACGCUGAGGUGCGAAAGCGUGGGGAGCAAACAGG